GGCUUGCUCUCUGAUUCAGCGGCGGACGGGUGAGUAAUGCCUAGGAAUCUGCCUGAUAGUGGGGGACAACGUUUCGAAAGGAACGCUAAUACCGCAUACGUCCUACGGGAGAAAGCAGGGGACCUUCGGGCCUUGCGCUAUCAGAUGAGCCUAGGUCGGAUUAGCUAGUUGGUGAGGUAACGGCUCACCAAGGCGACGAUCCGUAACUGGUCUGAGAGGAUGAUCAGUCACACUGGAACUGAGACACGGUCCAGACUCCUACGGGAGGCAGCAGUGGGGAAUAUUGGACAAUGGGCGAAAGCCUGAUCCAGCCAUGCCGCGUGUGUGAAGAAGGUCUUCGGAUUGUAAAGCACUUUAAGUUGGGAGGAAGGGCAUUAACCUAAUACGUUAGUGUUUUGACGUUACCGACAGAAUAAGCACCGGCUAACUUCGUGCCAGCAGCCGCGGUAAUACGAAGGGUGCAAGCGUUAAUCGGAAUUACUGGGCGUAACGCGCGCGUAGGUGGUUUGUUAAGUUGAAUGUGAAAGCCCCGGGCUCAACCUGGGAACUGCAUCCAAAACUGGCAAGCUAGAGUAUGGCAGAGGGUGGUGGAAUUUCCUGUGUAGCGGUGAAAUGCGUAGAUAUAGGAAGGAACACCAGUGGCGAACGCGACCACCUGGGCUAAUACUGACACUGAUGUGCGAAAGCGUGGGGAGCAAACAGGAUUAGAUACCCUGGUAGUCCACGCCGUAAACGAUGUCGACUAGCCUGCUGGGAUCCUUGAGAU
rnacentral:rRNA from 1 species